rnacentral:tRNA from 1 species
GUAAGAUGGCUGAGUUUAGGCGGUGGUUUGUAAUUUCACUUAUGGAGCGAGGGCUCUUCUUAUCA